rnacentral:rRNA from 1 species
UACGUAGGGGGCAAGCGUUGUCCGGAGUUACUGGGCGUAAAGCGCACGCAGGCGGUCUCUUAAGUUUGGAGUGACAGUUGGUGGCUUAACUGCCAAAGUGCUUUCGAAAACUGAGAGACUUGAGGGCUUCAGAGGGACACGGAAUUCCGGGUGGAGUGGUGAAAUGCGGUAGAGAUCGGAGGAACACCAAAGGCGAAGGCAGUGUCCUA